AUAGUUCGUUUUUUCACAUGAAAAAUUUAUAAAUAAAAUAAAAAGUACUCAUGGGUACAUCUUUGCUUGGGGCAGAAAUGACAUCCUUCUUGGCACCACCCUGAUAACAACAAAAUCCCAAAUUACACUCAUUUCAAACUACUCAAUAAUUUUCCUAGAUAUCUAUUAUAAGGUGAUCUUGUAGGGAUUCAAACGUCGAAGGAUUCGCCUCGUCAAACUCUAUCUUCCACCUCCGCCACCGUGACAAGUGCAAGAACGCUCCAGGAACUCCACAAGAACUCCAAGCAAACCUGCGAAACACACCAAACGGCGCCUCUAGCGGCCGAUGGCACUCCGACGCUCAAGUCAGCCUUACAAAACCACCAAAGAACUAAGAAUUGACUCUCUGCGAGACUCGUGUGCACUCUGUGAUUCUCUCUCUUUUCUCUGUGUGUGUAAACUGGUAACUUGCAAGAAUGAAUCUUACCUCCCUUUGCAUGAGCGUGGAAUGCCCUUUAUAUACUCUGUUGUGCGCCUAAAUUAUCCGUGCAUGAAGUAACUUAGCGCGUUUCUUCCACUAGAUGGCUCGUGCAACCUCAGUGUGAAUACCAAGCGUGGCUUGGCUAAGCGCACGCACCAGGCAUUACCUACUGUGUGAACGAUCAUCUCUGCUUUGCACCAUGCACGUUAUGGGUUAAGAGAGCACCAAUCACCGAAUGGCUUACUAGCUCUCUUAGGCCACUCUCGUGCACGACACUACCAAGCACAUAGCUUCUCCUUUCUCUGAUACUCUGUCACACAAGGCUCGUAUGCGACGCUCUCGCUGGGAAUCACCCUUCGUUUCCAGCUUAACUGCGUGUAACACGAAACCCCGAUGAUCAUCGCUCAGACCAGAUGACCGAUCGGUGCACCAUAGCACCACGCCUUCUGCUUCCAGGCGCUUAUCUAGGCGUUGAUCGCGCAUCCUCUCUGACCACCGCCCCCUGAUCACCGAUCACCACCCUGGGUGACUUUCUCAAUGACUCAUCUGCUUCCCUGGCCCAUGUGUUCCACUAAGAACGGUCCACGUGGCUAUCUGUUGCUGAUGUCACCGACUACCGAUGACCGACCGGAUCACAAGCCCCCCAGUCUCGAGCUGUAAAUUUGUUUUCAGCGAAGAGACUAAGUGAUUGUCUUCAGUGGCCACGUGACAAGUGAUGCCACGUCACGUGUCACAUCACGUGCUGUGCUUUAAGUGACGUUACGCCUUCCUCCCCUAACCUUGCAACACGUGUACGCAUCAACGGCUAGCAUGAAACGUCAUUUGCGCUUCUCACAUUCAAAUACUUGCGCGCCUCCACUGUUCCAUCACCUUCUCCAACGCUCUUCUCUGAAACUCUCGAAGCCCUUCUCUGCGCGAUUCGUCUUCCUCAAUCUCAAGCUUUCAGAAACCACUUGCGAUCAUCAAAAGGUACCCCUUUUCUUCAUCUAUGGCAUAGAGAAUACUUUCUACCGAUUGCAUCAUCCAAUAACUGCACUGUGCAUACGUUGUGGGCUGUUUUCCCUUUCCCUGCACUGUACUGGGGUUUCUUCUGGUUUUUCUGCAUUUUCCUGUGUUUUCGCUUCUUCUUCUUCGUCGCUUUCGCUUCUCCACUCCCUUCAACCAUAGCAUUUUUGUUCUCCUCGCCUUCCUCUUGUUUUUCGCUGAACCUUGUUUUUCAUUGGUCCCUCAUUCCUUCUUUUCUUUCUCCAUUGUAGCUACUGAACAAUGCCUUGAACAAAAACUACUGCACGUCUCGCCUCCUCCUCUGGUGCACAGCCUUCCGCAAGUGCACCACCACCGCCUUCGACGAGCGCGCCCCCCUCAACGAGUGCGCACCCCCAAGCGGCGCCUCCUCGACAUAACUACGCGCGGGUGUACCAAUGGGCUCCCCUCCACUUGCUCGCUGAGACUUCUACGCAACUUCCCGACGACCAUCUCACCAACCUUCUGAGCAGCGACUCAGACGAACCCACAUGCGCCCUUGAGAGGGACGAUGACUCACACUUGGACGUGUGCAUCCCCCCUCGAGACAUGCCAAUAUGCGUGGAUGAUAGGGCCACCAAUGGAGUGCCCUUCACCUUCAUUUACUCCGCCAUCUUCAAGAGGUUGCGCUCACCGAGUUGAACGUGGCUCCCUGUCAACUCCAUCCAAACGCUUGGGCCUUCAUCCGAGCGUUCGAGAUUCUCUGCAACCAUUUCGGACACCCUCUUUCAACCGACGUCUUCCUCCACUUCUUCGAGGCCAAGAACCCCGAUGAUAGGUCAUGGGUGAGCCUGAACGGUGUGUCAGGGAGAGUGAUCUUGGGCCUAUAUCAGCAAUCCUUCAAGGACUGGAAGGGUAGGUUCUACAUGAUCACCUCAAACGAGCACAGUCCGACUCUACUUGAGGGUUUCCCACUCUAUUGGGUUCCCAAGGUAGAGUUCAAAAAACCCUGAGCGCGAGCUGUGAGGCCUACUCUCGAGCUUGGGCGCUAAAUUCGGCUCCUCCACCCUCAUCAAGCACGAGUUCGACGCGGAGGCGCUUAAAAAAUACAUUGGUUUGCAUUCUCUUAUUCCCUUCAACUUGUCAUUUCUCUGGGUAUGAUAGUGUUCUUGCGCUUAACUGCAACUGCCUGUGUUGUUUUCACUCCUAGCUUGCUUGCCACACUUGCACACUUGCACAUAUUAAUCACUUCUCUGCAUGCUAACACUGAACUGAUGAGCUUGAUCGACUCUUCUGCACUUUGUUUGCUUUCUUGGCUCUUUGUGCACUAACCCUUUGUCAUGCCUAACCGGUGCAGAUAUGACUUCCAGCAAAGAACGACGCCAAAAGCUAAUCGUGGUAGCUAAGAGCCGAUGAGCUAUUGGGUCGUCUUCGGGGACCGAGGCCACCUCCGAGCCCAUCUCUGCCACCCCUCUCUCGGUCGCGCCAGCUGAAGGCCCCGAGACCAGGGGUGAGAGGAAAAGGAAACGGCUGGUGAAGGCUCCCACCACCGUCGCAUCCACCGAGGAGGAGAGCUCGGGGUCUCCUCUAGUCCAAAGAAGAAGAAAGGGAGCCGAGGUGGGCGGCUCUUCCACUCUAAGGCCCGAGGGCGCUGAGGGGGAUGCCUCUCCGAUCCCCCCAGCACAGACUUCUCCAACACGCCCUCCUUCUCCAGCACAUCUGCCUUCCGCGCCCCCAGUCAGUCAACCCCUCACCUUGCCAUCUCAAACUGCUGGGAGCGGGGCUGCUCGCUCGGAGGGGAUCUCUCACCCCUCAACCUCACCACGCCCUCAAGACUUCCCUGCCACAACCGAGGGUGGUGGUGAGAGUUCCCUCCGAGCCUCGAGUUCCAGCACUGAAGGGCUCACCACAGUUAUCGAGCUGACCAAGCAACAGCUCCAACACCGCGAGCUGGUCAACUGGAGCGGGAACGAGGUGGACCUUCAUCUGGCCCGCCAACUGGUGCUUUCUCUGGAGUUCUCCACCCAGCAUCGCCGCAUCAAGAAGCUGGAGGGAAAGAUGAGGGAGCUGUACAGCCAAAAGGAGUCGCUACAAAGUUACUACGAGGCCCUGCAGAACACCAACGAGCUGCUGAGAAACAUGGUGGAGGAGGCCAAGACGGGGCACCCCUGCAAGUCCAAGAAACCAUCAAGACAGAGAUGCUGAUGGGGGACGCCGUCGCCAUUCUUGACGCUGAGUUGGUCGAGACCACGGGCAAAGCCAUUCAGCUUGAAGCCGAGAAUGCCUUCCUGUGCCAACAGAUCACAAAUCUGGCGGAGGCUCUCGCUGCAAACGAGAAGCGUGCCGAUGAUCAGGGGUCCAAGCUCAAGGAAGCCGAAUCCACCAUCGCCCCUGCCACCGUGACGAUGGUUUAGCUCAAACUCUAUCUUCCACCUCUGCCACCGUGACAAGUGCAAAAACGCUCCAGGAACUCCACAAGAACUCCAAGCAAACCUGCGAAACACACCAAACGGCG
rnacentral:lncRNA from 1 species